AUGAUGGAACACAGAUACUGAUUACUAUUUGUUUAUUUCUUCAUAUUUUUGGUAAUAUUUGGGCACAUGAGGGCAGCCAGCAGCUCAGGCAGCUUGGUGGCGGGUUUUUUGAAUAUGUGGUUGGUGAUUGAGGAGGAUCCAUUGUGUUGUCAUAUCAGGGGCACGAGAACAGCACGAGCCACGAGAACAAAGGCAGCAGAUGGCUUUCCUGCUCCGAUAAAUGAUUCUGAAGUUACAGAGACACAGGGAGCAUUAACGGGAGUCCAGGGGGAAAGUAGGGAGUGGGCAGUCAAUCAGGAAAUUAAAUAUAGGCAAUAUUACACUGUACUGAUGCCCCUAAUAGACGCUUUUUAAAAUAAAUCUGUAUUUUAAAAGCAGAUUUCUUAUGAUUUAAAAGUAUUCAUUCCUUUGCCUUAUCAUAGGGAAACACAGCAAUAAAUAGAUCACAUUAGUUCCUACAACAAAAAAAGGUGUUUGUAAUGCUCAACAUGUAUUAUAUUAUAACAUUAUGUUUGGAUUUCUUAGGGAUAUUUGUCCCAACAACAAAUAAGCAACUAAAUGCCUCUACUUUUAGUCUAAUUAAUAAGAUUUAAACUCUUUUUAAAAACCAAACUAAAAGAGGAAAAACGGCUCUAUCCUUACAAUAUUUCCUUGUUAUUCUGUAUAUUUCUGUGCACUGGUUCAUGCUCCUGCUCAGUCCUGCAGGAGUCCAGCAGAGUGGAGACAGGAGUGGGCGUGGUCUGCAGGAAAGUGUCCGCCCACAGAGAGCAGCGUCCCUGUCACGGAGCCCCAAACCUCGUGGAGUAAAAGGGCGCUCAAUACAAGUGGAGCUACCAGCCAACGAGCUGCAGGACUGACGAGCACAGAGCAACGACGUGCAGCCACACCUGCUCACGGAUGAAUGAGUCACUGUGGGAGAGACGUCAGUCUGGAGGGUGAGUUCAAGGGGACAGAAGAUGUCUGAGUUAUGUCUGAAGGAAUCAGGGAAGAAGCAAGAUGACCUCUGAACCUCUUUAUGGCUUCUUAAUUCAGAAACAAUGUGUACUUAUUUUUGCUGCUUGUUAUUUAAUCUGCCCGGCAGUUAUCAUAAUAAAGUAAAUGUCCAAAACUAGAAGAGAAUGAUGAUAGAGAAUGCAGAAAAGCUUAUUAUCUCUGUAGAUUUAUCUCAGUCUGGAGCUUUUGUACAAUGUAAGAGUGAACAGUUAUUAAAAAAUAUUGAAAAGCUGCACAUUGGUUCAAAUUUUAUAGAAUUCAGAUCGCUCAGGUGUAGAGCAAAAACUUUAUACAGUUUUUUUUUUUAAACUUUUCUACAUCAAAAUGAAGGAAACCAAUCCAACAGAGCUGUUUUAUUUUUGGUCUGUGUUCCUUUAGGUCAGACGAUGUGUUUUCUGAAUGCAUCUUGCUGUUCUGAUUAAAGCUCCAUGCAGGUUUUGGAUAAAUUCUCUUGCAGUGUGAAAAGUCCUCACAUCUAAAGCAAUGUUUACUGGAUAAAAUGCAAGUUGCAUAAGGAAAUCACUGCUAAUUUAACUAUCAAUUUGAUUUAGUUUGUAAUUCAGUUUACAUAUGCAUGGUUUAACAUAGAUGUAAACACAUUAUGAAUAUCCAUACUGCUUCAAGUGUUUUAUUAAUAUUACAAAGUAGAUUUGAAUAUAACAUCAGCUCCAGCAGCUCAUUCAAAAGAUGGUAGAAAGAAAGAAAGAAAGAAAGAAAGAAAGAAAGAAAG